GAUGAACGCUAGCGGCAGGCCUAAUACAUGCAAGCCGAACGGCAAGUCUUAUAGCAAUAUGAGACCUAGAGUGGCGUAAGGGUGCGUAACACGUAUGCAAUCUGCCCGCAACCGGAGGAUAGCUCCCCGAAAGGGGAAUUAAGACUCCAUAAAAUGGAGAGGUGGCAUCACCAUUUCAUUAAUUACAAGAGGUUGUGGAUGAGCAUGCGCAUGAUUAGUUAGUUGGCGGGUAAGG
rnacentral:rRNA from 1 species